AGAAUCAACGCUGGCGGCGUGCCUAACACAUGCAAGUCGCACGAGAAAGGGACUUCGGUCCUGAGUACAGUGGCGCACGGGUGAGUAACACGUGAAUCAUCUACCUCCGAGUGGGGAAUAACUGAGAGAAAUCUUAGCUAAUACCGCAUAACACUUACGAGUCAAAGCAGCAAUGCGCUUGGAGAGGAGUUCGCGGCAGAUUAGUUAGUUGGCGGGGUAAUGGCCCACCGAAGACGAUGAUCUGUA
rnacentral:rRNA from 1 species